CUACGGAGGCUGCAAGCGUUGUCCGGAUUUAUUGGGUUUAAAGGGUGCGUAGGCGGUACGUUAAGUCAGUGGUGAGAUCCCUCAGCUCAACUGAGGAACUGCCAUUGAUACUGGCGUACUUGAGUACAGACGAGGUAGGCGGAAUUUAUGGUGUAGCGGUGAAAUGCAUAGAUACCAUAAAGAACACCGAUAGCGAAGGCAGCUUACUAGACUGUAACUGACGCUCAGGCACGAAAGCGUGGGGAGCGAACAGGAUUAGAUACCCCAGUAGUCC
rnacentral:rRNA from 1 species